rnacentral:rRNA from 1 species
ACGGGGUGCAGCAGGCGCGAAAACUUUACACUGCGCGAAAGCGCGAUAAGGGGACCUCGAGUGCGUGCGCAAUGCGUACGCUUUUCACAUGCCUAAAAAGCAUGUGGAAUAAGAGCCGGGCAAGACCGGUGCCAGCCGCCGCGGUAACACCGGCGGCUCAAGUGGUGGCCGCUAUUAUUGGGCUUAAAGGGUCCGUAGCCGGACCAGUUAGUCCAUUGGGAAAUCUUACGGCUUAACCGUAAGGCUGCCAGUGGAUACUGCUGGUCUUGGGACCGGGAGAGGCAAGAGGUACUUCAGGGGUAGGAGUGAAAUCCUGUAAUCCUUGAGGGACCGCCAGUGGCGAAGGCGUCUUGCUAGAACGGGUCCGACGGUGAGGGACGAAAGCUAGGGGCACGAACCGGAUUAGAUACCCGGGUAGUCCUAGCCGUAAACGAUGCGAGCUAGGUGUCACGUGGAUUGCGAAUCCAUGUGGUGCCGUAGGGAAACCGUGAAGCUCGCCGCCUGGGAAGUACGGCCGCAAGGCUGAAACUUAAAGGAAUUGGCGGGGGAGCAC